AACACCCUGCUGCUCUUUGUUUAAAUUGGGACUGACUGCUGGGUCACAUGACUCAGCCUACAGCUAACAAGCCUGUGGCUUGUGGGCUGGGCCAUAAUCUUACAGUUGGGACUAAUCAGGUCAGCUCUGCUGCAAGGCUCUGUGUCCUGGCAGUGAAUGAUAGCAGUGAGUUUACUAGGAGAGGUUGGAGAGGAGUCCAUGGAAACAGCAGGGCCAUCUGGAAUACAUUGCACUGUGCAAAUGGACGGAGUUGUUCCAGCAACCUGCAGGGUGUGUGCCAUGUUCGUCUUCCUUCUAGGGAGAACAGGAACCAAACCUGCAGCCUGUGAAGGCUGGGAGCUCUCCUGGAAGAGAAUGCAGGGAGGCUGAAGCAUGCUUCUGCACACUUCAACUUGUCGAGAAAGACAGACAGUUGAACGGCUUGUAGUUGAGAGGCAGGUAGCCCUCUUGAAAGAACAAUAGGAGGAGGAGAGAGCCAAGGAAGGGGAAGAAAACAGAAGGCAAGGAGAACUAGAGGGGAGGAAGAAUGUGACACACGGCAGAACAGAUGAAGAGCUCUUCCCAUGGAAGGUGACCCUGGGCCAUUGGAAAACUGGGCACUGCGUGCACACUACAGAUCAUUAGGGAAGACACUUGGGUCCAUGUGGAAUUGAAGAAUUUACCCACCAAUCCUUUCCAUUGGGUGGUUAUGAAUCCUGGGUGGCCUGAAGGUGGGACACCACCCUGAACUCCACAAAAUACUGGUGAAGGCACCCAGACACACAUGUAUGGGAGGAACAGAAGAGCCAACCCAGAAGGAGCAGAUGCGGGACAGCGGCGAGAGACUCCCUACUGGCGGCUGCGGUGUGCAUACCAGAUAAUUAAUCUUGGGAAGCAUUUCACCUUCCUGGAGCACAGAUCCGAGAUGGGAUGGCGUGGGUGCAGAGACUCAUCAAGACAACUGCCUGCUAUCCACUCUUGCUGAUUCAUGUGGGAGCAAAUGGUAGUGCCAGAAAAAAUGUUGAAUGGAUCUCCGAAGACCGUGAGGCUCUGGAUAGGAAAGUGAAGGAUUUGGAGGUACAAGUGUUAUCUCUUCAUCAAUCCUUUCUGAUGAAGGUCAGUGCACUGUUAGGGAAAGAUCCUGAAAUUAAUAGCUGGUUGUGCAGAUGAUGUCACUGGAAAGGUUUGGUUUUGUGGACCACAGCUUUCAAUACCAAUUUGUAGGACUCCUUUCAUAUAGUUCGGGUGAACCUCACUAGGACUAGAAAACAUUUUUUUGGGUAGCAGACUUGCAAACCUGAUUAUUUUAAACAAACCUUGUAUGUGUGUGGGUGUAAGCUAGCUACUGAGUUACGUAUCACAGAGAAGGACAAAGGAGGAGACAAGACUUGGGGAAGCAGAUCCAGUAAAUUGCAGUUAACACAGCAGGGAAACUGAAAAGGUGCAACAUCUAUGGCCUCAGGUGACUAUAUACUAAUACAUGGAGCAUGAGAAACAAACAGGAGAAACUUGAAAUCCUAAUACAAAAUGGUAAGGACGAUCAGAUAGAUAUCACUGACACUUGGUCCAAUGUGACUCCUGAUUGGAAUAUUGCCAAUGAAGGGCAUACCUUGUUGAAAAGGAAAAGAGCUAACAGGAAGGGAAGUUGCAGUAUAUUUAGGAAUGUGUGGAAAUCUGUAAUGCUAAGAAAAGAAGCAUGGUUAGAGAUAGAUGGAGGGAUAAAUUGUUGUGGCAGUUAACAUGGAUGGUGUCUUCUGGGAGAAUUAAUAAAACUUUUACUGGGACAAGCAAUAGAGUAAUAGGAACUUCAACUAUUCUGACAUUUGCUGGAAGUCUGCAGCGAAUGGAAUAUCCAGUAAGUUUUUCUUUAUUGUUAUUGUAUAUUUAUUUAUUAUAAAUAUUUAUUAUUUAUUUUUGCUCUGACUUGCUGACUACCUUGCAGAAGGUAGAGGAAGGAACAAGGGCAACUGCAAUCUUGGGCUUAAUUCUGACCCAAUAUAAAGAAAUGGCAGAUGAAAUGCAAGUGGAAGAACUCUCUUGGGUAAGUGACUGGGUCACUUCAAGAUAGAAUUCAUGACAGAAACAGCUGUGAAUGGCAGGGUAUUAAAUUAAUUAACUAACAAACAAGCAACACUCAGCUUAGUUGAAGCACUAGAGGGAUUUAAGCAGAAGUUGGUUGGCCCUUGGGCAGGGAUGCAGUAGCUGCCCAUUGGCAACCAAGCCAGGUUUAAUGUUCUGGAACUAGUGUACAAAGGUGUCAGGAUAUUUGAGAGAGCUUUACCAGCCUGCCUGGCAACUGAAGUCAUUGGACCUAUCACCGAACUGGAGUUGACCAGGCUCUUCAGUGUGGUGGCUCUCUUUGUACGGAAUGCCCUGUCCCUGGAAGUCAGUCAGGCUUUCACACUCUUCUUUCUGGCACUUGCUGGAAAAGUCUUUGUUCCUGAAAGUCUUCAUUGCUUACCAGCCAGUUUUAAUAUACUGUUUUUAAUGUGCUUAUUUUAGCCUUUUUAUAAAUUUAAUCUUUAUUUUUCACUGCCCUGGAAUUUGUCUAGAUAUUGACUGGUAUACUAAUGCAGUAAAUAAAUACAUAAAAUAAAACAUGAAACAUUUAAUGUCUGUGCCAUGAAAUAAAGGCAGCAAGUAUAUUCUAGAACCUCAGUCUUGCUUCGUUGCAACUUUGCUUCCAUGCACCCAUGUUUUCUCUACAUCUUUCUAAUUUUCUUCUGCAGCUUUGGAGAACACAGAUACUCAAGUUCCUAGUGGCUGCCUAGGUACACACUGACUUUCUGUUUUCCUUCACUGCAAGCUCUUAUUGAUGUUAAUGAUGGACAACAUGGGGCGAGUUGGGGAGAAAAGAACAAGGCUGAUAAUGAGAGGAUGCAGACAGACAAAAGAAUGGAGGUAACUAAUUAUUGGGAUGGGUGUUGUUUCAGGCAAUAAAAUUCAUUAGAAAUAAGGAGGAUGCACUUGCACUGAGGAGCAAACAUAUAUAGGAUUGGCCUUUGCGCUAGGUUGCUUUUUAUUUAAAAUAGUAAGCCAAGCAUAAGCACCUCACAGCCCAAGAGCCAAAAGCAGACUCCCCAGGGCCAUCGUGGCAGCCCCCACUGUCUCUACCCACCAUUACCAAAAUUAUAGCAAUUUUGAAGGAAAACAUAGUGUGUUUGCAAGCAAAAUUCUCAAAAGCAUAAUUCCGAUUGAAAGUGCUAUUCUUCUCCCUUCAUUGUCUUGCCUUGUUUCUCUGUAAAAUUUCCACAAUUUGAGCUGCUGCCAGGGGGUGUGGGAGGUAGCCCCCUGACCCUCCCCUGAUUUAAGCAGAGUUAGUCUAAUGUGCAGAUAAGCUAGAAUAGUUGCAUGACACCUGGUUAAACAUUCACAGGAUUAUGCUUUGGAGUUGAGAUAACCUCCUGCAUAGUUUAUCUAUUAGAAUUAAUAAUUCAAAUGAAUAAAAUCUUAUUAAACAGUGUGCCAUUGCGCAGAGUCCUGUCUUGAAUCUGCAGAAGACAAUGACUGAAUGAAAGACCAAGAGGAGAUGUACGUGCAUGAAAGGCUAAGUCAGAAGUGCCAUGGGUCUGUAUGAAGCCCUUACUACUAACAUGGAAGUGAAGUUAAGAUCCAAGUCUCAGGGACACAUUUGGAGACACCAGGGCUGCAGUGGGUGGAAUGUAUACUUCUGGAAGAUUCACACAGUUGGAUACAAACCAUGUUUUUUAAGGUAUCACUCCAGUAACAGGAAGAUGCAGCUGGAACAAGCUGACUCAUCUACCCAACUCUUCAUACAAGCAAAGUCAUUCAAGAUCAAACCCUAGAAGAUUUAAAAUUGGGGAAAAUAUUUCCUCAGGAAAGUAUUAUCAUCAAUACAUUACAAGCCUUUGGACUGGAUCCCCAGAUAUAUUUACAGAAGAAAUUAUGAUAGCACUAAUGAUCCACUUGGAAGAUAUGUGUGACCUCAUGCAAAACCUGGUACAGAAGACUGCAUAAGGCCUUGCAUAAGACAUUUUUACUCUCUUUUAUCACACAAGGAUCUUAUGUGAAGUCUGAAAAGGCCCUCCUGCAUAUGGAAGAGGCUUUCCACUUGAGGAAGGGGAUCUCCAGAUCCAACCUCUUGUUAUGUUGGAAUCUAUUCAGAAAAUAUCAAUCAUGGAUGGGAGACAAAAGACAAGACUAUCUUUUCUCCUUUCCUAAUGAAGCUUAUGUUCAGAAGCUGAAGAACAGGCCUGAAGUCUUUUGAUUUUUGCCCCCAACAGAAAUGGGCAGGCAUGGGAAUGAAAACUGACUUCCUAUCUUGCUCCACCAGAGGUUACUUUCCCAAUCAAUCUUCCCAGCCAGUAUCACUAUCUUAAUGACUGAUUGGUGAGGAAGCCUCCUGCUUUCUCUGUUUCCCAGCCAUCUUUGAAACUAUACUGGAUAACAGAAUAGUAUAAUCAGGAUCGCAUGCUGUGAUCUUCCGUUUUUGGCCUAUGCCAAGUUGCUGUGUGAAUCCACCAAGGGAGCACUCACUCUAAAGCUUCAGGAAUGCCCCAUUUAUGAAAUAUGGAGAGAACUUGACCUAUUUAUUAUGCAGAAAAGGCAGACUUCUCAAAAUUAUUUAUUUAUUUAUUUAUUAAAACAUUUUU